UUAAUGGAGAGUUUGAUCCUGGCUCAGGACGAACGCUGGCGGCAUGCCUAAUACAUGCAAGUCGAGCGGAUUGGAUGAGAAGCUUGCUUCUCUGAUAAUUAGCGGCGGACGGGUGAGUAACACGUAGGCAACCUGCCUUUCAGUCUGGGAUAACUUCCGGAAACGGAUGCUAAUACCGGAUACAUCGUUUCUCUGCAUGGAGAGAUGAGGAAAGACGGCGCAAGCUGUCACUGAGAGAUGGGCCUGCGGCGCAUUAGCUAGUUGGUGGGGUAACGGCUCACCAAGGCGACGAUGCGUAGCCGACCUGAGAGGGUGAACGGC
rnacentral:rRNA from 1 species